rnacentral:lncRNA from 1 species
GAAAACAGAAAGAGAAGCAGAAGAGAAUGAAAAAAAAAAGGAAAGUUAAAAGAACAUACAAGAAAAAAAUUAAAUUACUCACAACGAAAAAAUAUGGAGAUCAAUUGUAUAAUUUAACCUAAAAUUUUUGUUUGAAAUGAUGAUUUAAGGUGUCACUUUAGCUUACCGUUAUACCGUUAACGGUAAUUAACUGCUCAAUAACUAAAAUAUUACAACAUGUUAACGUAAGUGAUUAAAAUA